AGCAGCGGUCCUUGCCCCAGUCAACAACCGCAGCGAAGCGGGUCUGGGCUGCAGGAGUCAGAGGUUACAACAAACGUUUAAAGGUUUGCAUUACCAUAAGCCUCACAAUGAUGGAGGCUACCACAGACCCAGCUAUAACCACACCACUGCAAAAGAAAGUGCCGAGAGAUAUCAGUGAUGAUGACAUCUUUAAGCCUAGAAACCAGCCAACUGCGGAAGCCAUCAUCACAGACUCUGGGUCCGAAAAGAUGGACCGGUGCAAGACGGAGGACGUGCGGGAGGAGACGGAAGAGGGGGCGGAUAGCUCUGACGCCUCCAGCCCGGAACCGCUCUCCCCGUUGCGGCCGUUCUACAAGGUCCGCUUCACCGACCAGGUCACGAAAAAUGGCGAUAUCAUCAACUACCAGAUCGAGGUG